GGAUUUUUAGGUUAAAUUUAGACCUUAGGCCUUCAAAGCUUAGAGAGAGAUUUAUUCUCAAAAUCCGA
rnacentral:tRNA from 1 species